CACUACGACCUUCAUUGCUUUCAAUGGGAAACUUUUGGCGUCAGAAUUCGACACGAGGACAUGAGAUGUUUAUCGCUAUGAAAUCACGUUCAAGAAGUCUCAUUCAGCACACAUCGCGAUACUUGCUAUCAGUGACAGUUCCACAGUUUGGCUGAAAAGACAUAAAGGCAGUCAGCCCAGUGGUGUUUCUGGAGAGGGAUUCCUUCAGAAAUGGAGAAGACAGAAAGCUGCGGAGGCAGAUAUAUGCAGCAGUAAGUCUGUGAUAGUUUGUCCCUUUUAUCAAACAUUCCUGCUGUUAUAAUUUGUACAGCAUUUGUUGUUUCUUAAACUGUUGCACUGUCCAAAUACCCACACUUGCCAUCUUUGCACUUGACCACUUGAUUACUUAUUUGAAGUCUUUCCUGUAUUUGGCCUAGUGUUCGAGUGAGCAUGAUAACCACAAGUGUGUGUCGAACUUUUCAUGACCUGAUGACUGUGUUUCCCAAUCCUGAUCCUGGAGAACCCCAGCACUGCACGGUUUUGGUGUCUCUCUUAUCUGCCUUGGAGUCUUCACUGAUGAGCUGAUGAGUUGAAUCAGGUCUAAAAUAUCAAGCUCAACAACUCACUCAAGAGCCAACCCUCACAAACCUUCCUAAAAACUAAAAGAGCUAUUACUGAGUCUCAGCGAAUCUUGCCAUGAUCAGCUCUUCCCAGAAGAGAAGGAAGACCAAGGAAAUGAUUUGCUCAGGAUGAGAAAUGAAGAUGGCCAUCUUGUGCUCAAACAAACAGAAGUCCUCUGAUGAUCUCAUCAGCCAAAUGAGGGGUUUUGACCAAGUGAUGCUCUUGAAAGGAGUGAAAGAAGAGGAUGUGCUAAAUUGUCUUCAGAGAAAAAGCUUCUCAAAAGGUCUUAAAGCAGCUUGA